rnacentral:rRNA from 1 species
CCUACGGGUGGCAGCAGUGGGGAAUAUUGCGCAAUGGGCGAAAGCCUGACGCAGCGACGCCGCGUGAGGGAUGAAGGUCUUCGGAUCGUAAACCUCUGUCAGCAGGGAAGAACGGUCACUGUGCUAAUAAGCAGUGAAUUGACGGUACCUGCAAAGGAAGCACCGGCUAACUCCGUGCCAGCAGCCGCGGUAAUAAGGAGGGUGCGAGCGUUAAUCGGAAUUACUGGGCGUAAAGCGCUCGUAGGCGGUAUGUCAAGUCAAGGGGGAAAUCCCCGCGCUCAACGUGGGAACUGCCUUUGAAACUGGUGAACUGGAGUGUGUGAGAGGAUAGUGGAAUUCCAGGUGUAGGAGUGAAAUCCGUAGAUAUCUGGAGGAACAUCAGUGGCGAAGGCGACUAUCUGGCACAUAACUGACGCUGAGGAGCGAAAGCGUGGGUAGCAAACAGGAUUAGAUACCCGAGUAGUC